CCUCCUGGUUCCUCUCCUCCUGGUUCCUCUCCUCCUGGUUCUUCUCUCCUUCAUGUGUUAAUCUCUGUUGGAUUGUUCUGUGUUGUGGUUCUACUGGUGUUUCUGGUUCUGCUGGUCAGACAGCGUUCUCACAGGAAACCUGGAGAUCAGAGCAAAGCUGCAGGAGAUGAUGUCACAUACAGUGAUGUCAAAGUAUCAGCUCGUCAGCAGCAGCCAGACAAAUGGAGCAGAGAGACUGAUACAGCUGUGGUCUACUCAGCAGUGACAGGUGGAGACGUCAGCUAUGGAGAACCAACCAUCAGAACAAGGAGGCCCAGACUUUAAACCAGAGCCAGACGUCGUCUACUCUUCACUGAAGUAUCCACCAGUCCAACCACUGACGUCCAGCUGCUGCUCUCUGACUGCUCCCCAGCACCUCACAGACCAUCCAUGUGUUACUUCUUUUCCUCCUUUAAUGAGACUGAUACAUGUAAAAAAUUACAUCCUA